AGUACGAAAAUACUUACAGAAUUAAAGAUUCCGUUAAAAGGAUUCUGUUUAUAGUGCUUCCUUAGGUUUAUUGAGGGUCUGAAUAACGGUGCGUGGGCCUUUGACAGUCAGACAAUGAAGAACGGCGCACAGGUAUCAGGACAUAACAGCGGUAAUGUCAGGUCUUGUGAUGUGGGAGCUCAGUCGCUCUAAUAUGCCGGUGGCUAGUGGUACGAAAAAGAUUUUAUUAUACGAGAAGAUGGAAUGCAAGUUAGAUUUUCCAGGGAAAAGGGCGGAUAAAUAGUUUAGGAAAGAUUCGGUGAUUUAGAACUCACUCGUGUACGUAAACAGUACACAGGACACCCACAUAUAGCACGCAACCGGUGCAAGUUUUAUCAACUAAGUAUAUCAACUAAGAUCUUCGAAUGCUGCGAGAAGUAAACCGUUACCUUUUUAGAUGUAUCCUGUCGAUGCAAGUAUCACCAUAAUCGCUUCUCCACAAGCGCAAUCUAGUAUCCAAACGUUGAGGCAAUUCAAUGCUUUUGUAUAGCUAUUGUUUAAAACGUAACACAGCUUGAACAAUUUCAAUACGUAAUACAAGCCACAAGUAUUGCCAGAUUGUGUGUCACCAAUGGAGUACAGUCCAUACGACUCAGUACUUACUCAAUCAUAACCAUCAAUGUAAUAUCAAUCAACAAGCAGUCAUAACGUAUAACCGGAUCAUCAACUGGAACGUAUGUGCAACAAUUUCCAUAUAUAGAUGACAUAUCACAAAUACAGUCGCAAGAAAAAUUAAUGUUAUACAGGGUAACACAAACCUAUAACGAAGGAU